rnacentral:misc_RNA from 1 species
GUGAAUCAUCGAAUCUUUGAACGCACAUUGCGCCUUUUGGUAUUCCGAGAGGCACGUCUGUUUGAGCGUCAGCAAAACCUUCCGGCCCCCGGUUUGUUCCGGGAAGCUCGGGCGUGCUGGCGCGGGGACUGGCCGCCGCGCUUCGGUGCGGGCGGGCCUUCCCCCGCUUAAAGGUGUGGAAGCUAGCGGGGUGUGCCCCGGAUCGCGACGACUCGUAAGCUUUUUUUACCGUCGAAGUCAAUCCGGACGCCCCCGCCUCACAAAACACUGGCCGUUUUUUUUCCGGCCUUGAACCCUUGA